rnacentral:rRNA from 1 species
CUGUGGUAAUUCUAGAGCUAAUACAUGCUAAAAAUCCCGACUUCGGAAGGGAUGUAUUUAUUAGAUUAAAAGCCAACGCCCUUCGGGGCUUCCUGGUGAUUCAUAAUAACUUUUCGAAUCGCAUGGCCUUGCGCCGGCGAUGGUUCAUUCAAAUUUCUUCCCUAUCAACUUUCGAUGCGAAGGUAUUGUCUUCGCAUGGUUGCAACGGGUAACGGAGGGUUAGGGCUCGACCCCGGAGAAGGAGCCUGAGAAACGGCUACUACAUCCAAGGAAGGCAGCAGGCGCGCAAAUUACCCAAUCCCGACACGGGGAGGUAGUGACAAUAAAUACUGAUACAGGGCUCUUUUGGGUCUUGUAAUCGGAAUGAGUACAAUUUAAAUCCCUUAACGAGGAACAAUUGGAGGGCAAGUCUGGUGCCAGCAGCCGCGGUAAUUCCAGCUCCAAUAGCGUAUAUUAAAGUUGUUGUGGUUAAAAAGCUCGUAGUUGAACCUUGGGCCUGGCUGGCCGGUCCCCCUCACCGGGUGCACUGAUCCAGCCGGGCCUUUCCCUCUGUGGAACCC